UAAUGAGAUGAUGUUAAAAAAGGUCAAUUUUUAAUUUUUUUGAUUCCGAUUCUGCCCUUCAAGCCAAUUCACUCUCUAUAUUCUUCUCCUCCUCCACAGAAUCACAGACCUCCUCUCUCGAGUGUCAAUGUCGAAGAACGAUGUGAGCCCCCGAAAAUUUUUGUUUAAGUUUUAGAAGGUAAUUUUCGCCAAUAAGAUUUUUACACAAGGUGAUUUUAGUGAAGGAAUCGAUUUUUGGACAUUUUUAGGUAUCGAGACUACCAAUUGGGCUAUUUGAAUUAAGUUUGGAUCGAAAACUAAAGUUUGGGCCAAUGUCCUUCCAAUUGGGCCUAAAGAAUUACUAAGGUUUAUUGAAGCAAAAGAUUGUCGGGAUUAUUAUGGAAGGAUACAAAUUGAGUUUUUAGUAAUUCGAGUUUUGGGCAUACGACGGAGUCGACUAAGAAAAUUAGUGACGAAAAACGAAUAAAGAAGCGAGCUCAAAACCCGACUCAAUUGUUGGUUGAAUUCGUCGCAGGGGUAUAUUUGUUAUUUCGCAUGUACAAGUAUAAAUAGGAACAAAAACCCUAAAAUCCCAAAACAGUCUCUCCCUCACUCUCAGCCGUUCUCUUCUCUCCCCUAUCCCCGUGUUCUCUCUUCUUCUUCCCUCUGCCACCACCGGAGACCCCAGCUCCGGCCACCACCUCUAGUCACCACCACCACCAAUCAAAACAGGACCCAAUUCCGACCUAAACCCAGCAAGAAUCAUCGGCAUGCGCCGCCUCCAGCUACCGCAUGCAACCACCACAGUUUCCGCCACCAUGCCUAGCCGGAAAGGGUACUUUUGAUCACUUUCUCCACUCACCGCCACCACCACUCGAUCCAGCACCCAAAACCGACCAAACUCGAGCCUCACCUUUCGACAUGCAUCGCCCACAGCCACCGUACACGACCACCAUCGUCGCAACACUACUGCUCCUCCACUUUCUUCAAUUUCCGACCAUACACCACCGUCCGACUCAGUAAACAAGGAAGAGCGAAACCCAUGAGCAUCAUCACCCAUCGAUGCCGGGAGACCGCCGUACCAGCAUUGUCGGAGGCCUCGGCCCUGUAGGCCCUCGUUUUCCGAUCUCCAGCUCGAAUCGAGCUAAGCAACCUCCGUAGCUGGUAUCAAGGCUUCACGGUGCUUCAAAGCCCUAGGACCCCGACCUCCGAUUCCGACUGGAGCAGCCGUACGCGCUGCACGCGCCGCCCCAGGCGCGUGAACCACCGUAGAUCCGUCGCUCACGAUCGCCGGAAAUCGUCAGGACUUCUCGAUUAGGUAAUUUCGCGAUUUCUAUUUAGCUGGAGCUUCUGGUUUCAGUAGAGUGAACCCUAAUAACUUGUUGUUUGAUUUGGAGGAAUUGAGGUCUGCGAGAUUGUAAGGUUUUGGAGAAGAGAAGUGUAGGGUCAGUUUCCAUUGAGAAUGGACUGAGGUGUUUCAAAACGGUUGUCGAUGGUGGAAUGCAGCUACAAUGGAUUGCUAAUUUGGAAAGGAGAAUGGUAAGGUUCUGGAUUUUGGUUUUACCGGUGGUGAAAUUAUCUUGGAUGUAUUCUGCUGUAGUUUGGGUUUGUUGAGAAUGUGCAAAGUUAGUAAAGUGAUGGGUGUUGUGACAAAUGAAAUGUUGUACAAGAAUGUAAUCGGUGCUUUAGCGUUAUGACUUAAGGAUUGAUAAAUGAGAAUGGAAAGAAAGUUGGAUGCUAAA